UAUUUUACAGUGAGUCCUGCUGGCAACCAGGCACGGAUAGAAAGGGGGGCGAUGGGGGAGGUCGCCCCCCCUAACACACUGCAGCUUUCAGUGUGAUGAGAUGAGAUAUAGACAGUGUCUCAGCAAUCCCGCUCCCUCCUCCCAGCUUGUGUACUCCCUGCUGAGCAGAGGCUGCAGAGCUCUCACACGCAGCGUCUCUCCUCCUUCCCAAUCACUCCUUUGGCUCAUAGGGCAGGCAAUAAAGAUAAGUUUGUUGACUGUGGAGUGGGAUUCUCACCCCAGUGUCUCCACACAGAUGAUCAAAGGAGAUCCGUCCGGGAACUGGCUGCUUGUUGGAGGCGGGGCUAAAGUUACUUGACAGGCUAGUCGACAAAUGAAAAACACUAUAGUGUUGGGUGGGCUGAACAUGUCUGUGUACAGUGUACACAGGAAGUGGAAGCAGGAAGGAGCUGUGCGUUCCAUUUCUACUUUGAUUCAACUUACCUUGGCUGCAGUGUGAGACCAGCCUGAUGCUGCUGCCAGAGGGACAACGGCCAGCCUGCUGCUGUGGCCAGAGGACAAGGAUCAACCUACUGCCUGCCAGCCAGAGACCUACCAGCAAUCUGCAACUUAGUAUAAUCUGGCAAAGAGAUUGGCAGAGUGUCGGGUGACCGGCAAAGAGAUCUGCAAAGUGUCAGUUGAAAACGACGGGAGGGGUCGCAGAGGUAGCAAUGACUGGAGUAUAACAUGAAGGAGAUCAUCAUUUGGCAAAGUUCUGGCAAAGAGAUUUGCAGAGUGUCGGGUGACCGGCUAAGAGAUCUGCAAAGUGUCAGUUGAAGACGACGGGAGGGGUCGCAGAGGAAUUAGUGACUGGAGAAUAGCAUGCAGGAGUGGGUGAUCCCUGAACAGCUGCGCUGGGAGGAGAGCUGCGGACACAUGCUCCAAAUAUUGGGACAUAUGCAUUACCUAUUAGGAGAUGCAGUAAAGAUGCCGGCUGUCGGGUUUACGGCAGUCAGAAUACUGACUCUGGGGUCCCGACACUCUUCAGAAUCCCGACGUUGGAACUCCGAAUGGGCAAGGAUACCGACGCCCGUAUCCCCACGAUCAUAGGUUUCGGGCUGGGCAAGGGGGGUUAGGUUUAGGCAUCAGGC